rnacentral:rRNA from 1 species
GUCGAACGAUGAAGCCCAGCUUGCUGGGUGGAUUAGUGGCGAACGGGUGAGUAACACGUGAGCAACCUGCCCCUGACUCUGGGAUAACAGCCGGAAACGGUUGCUAAUACCGGAUAUGCAUCAUGGCCGCAUGGUCUGUGGUGGGAAAGAUUUUUCGGUUGGGGAUGGGCUCGCGGCCUAUCAGCUUGUUGGUGAGGUAGUGGCUCACCAAGGCGUCGACGGGUAGCCGGCCUGAGAGGGUGACCGGCCACACUGGGACUGAGACACGGCCCAGACUCCUACGGGAGGCAGCAGUGGGGAAUAUUGCACAAUGGGCGGAAGCCUGAUGCAGCAACGCCGCGUGAGGGAUGACGGCCUUCGGGUUGUAAACCUCUUUUAGCAGGGAAGAAGCGAAAGUGACGGUACCUGCAGAAAAAGCGCCGGCUAACUACGUGCCAGCAGCCGCGGUAAUACGUAGGGCGCAAGCGUUAUCCGGAAUUAUUGGGCGUAAAGAGCUCGUAGGCGGUUUGUCGCGUCUGCUGUGAAAACCCGAGGCUCAACCUCGGGCCUGCAGUGGGUACGGGCAGACUAGAGUGCGGUAGGGGAGAUUGGAAUUCCUGGUGUAGCGGUGGAAUGCGCAGAUAUCAGGAGGAACACCGAUGGCGAAGGCAGAUCUCUGGGCCGUUACUGACGCUGAGGAGCGAAAGGGUGGGGAGCAAACAGGCUUAGAUACCCUGGUAGUCCACCCCGUAAACGUUGGGAACUAGUUGUGGGGGCCUUUCCACGGUCUCCGUGACGCAGCUAACGCAUUAAGUUCCCCGCCUGGGGAGUACGGCCGCAAGGCUAAAACUCAAAGGAAUUGACGGGGACCCGCACAAGCGGCGGAGCAUGCGGAUUAAUUCGAUGCAACGCGAAGAACCUUACCAAGGCUUGACAUACACCGGAAACGUCUGGAAACAGUCGCCCUUUUUGGUCGGUGUA